rnacentral:rRNA from 1 species
ACAUACAAGUGGUAGAGAAGCGAAGCGGACGACCCUUCGGGGAGCUUGUACAGGUGCUGCAUGGCUGUCGUCAGCUCGUGUCGUGAGAUGUUCGGUUAAGUCCGCUAACGAGCGCAACCCUCGCUGUGUGUUACAAGUGUCACACGGAACUGCCGGUCAUAAACCGGAGGAAGGUGGGAUGACGUCGAAGUCAGCAUGGCCUUUAUAUCCUGGGCUACACACACGCUACAAUGGGAAGGGACAAUAGGUUGCGAAGCCGCGAGGUGGAGCCAAUCCAAGCAAAACUUACCCUCAGUUCAGAUUGCAGGCUGCAACUCGCCUGCAUGAAGUUGGAGUUGCUAGUAAACGCAGGUCAGCCAUACUGCGUUGAAUACGUUCCCGGGGCUU